GUCCGUAGUGGCGGUGCACGGUGCACGCGCGCCGGUCAUCACCGAUUGCCGCCGAUCACGUAUCACUUUGAGCAUUCAAGAAAGUUAGAAUUCGUUAGAACGCGAGAUGGAUUCGCGGAUAUGUUCACGACCAGCUUGCGACUUGGGAUCGCGAUCGGUGAAAUGUAUGCACAUGUAACGGCAUUGCCGAGCACAUAUUUGGCGAAUCGAAAGUUGUAACGACAGGUCAGACACGUGACCUGUCGAGAUGCUGGUCACGUGAUCACACGAAUUUUAUUAAUUGUUUCUUUAUGGCGGUGUUAUUUUAAUAAGAAUUAAGAAUGCUUUAAUAGAAAAAUUUGUUACUUUUAAUAGAAGAAUUACUAUUUUUCUAUUGCACUUACUCGUGUAUUUUAUAAUAUAAUACUUUGUAUUUUGUUGUAAGAGAUCGAUAUUAUAUCGACGAAACAAGAUUGAGAAAAAUAUCGAGCGCACAACCUCGGGAUAAAUAAAUGGCGUGACGCGUUAGUCCAUAUUUAUCGAAGCCGCCGGAAGUGAACCGGUUCGCGGCUCCGGAGUAUCGCGAUUUUUCGCGAUCGUUGGAAAACGACGCGAUGCAUUUCGCGGGGAAACAUUAUUCAAAAUGAAUGUUUAAUGUUAGACAACAGGUAAUGGAGUAACAGUUUAAUUCUCCGCGAUUUCCCGCACCGGUACGGUUGAAUUAUUUUAUAUCGCCAUAGUCGCGCGCGAUUAAGCCGGUUGCGUGCGAUAUUUAAAGCUCCGUUACUCCGCGGAUCAUACGUGUAUGAUGUUUCGCGUUGCAGCGCGCGCCGGGCAGAAAUUGAUUAACCUUGGUACUCUGCGAUCCGAUAGAGUCGAAUGAUCGUCUUAAGGUCACGCUGGAUACUUUUGGAUCACGCGCGAUAUAUCUCCCGAGAGAAAUAACGCCCAGCAUCAUUCGGCUGUGCGGAUGUAAUCGAUUCGAGCAAAGUCUGAAUACUGAGUACCACGGCUAGACAGCAUCCACUUUAGUUAUCCUAGGAAUUUUAAUGAAAACUCGCUCCGCCUGCGAUUGUUUGCUUUCCGCCGCGAAUGAGUGAUAAAUCCUGCACAACGUCCGCUGAAUCCGCAAUUUUUCAACCUUAACCUUAGGGGAAAUAUUAAUUGCAAUGUUUAAUCGCUCGUAUUAUCAAUAUUACGGCGCGCGAUGAAUUUUACGUUGUAGCACAUUUCAAAAGGGGGAAACAUAGCGAUAAUUUUAUUAUAAUGCAUAUAUCUUGGCUAUUAUAUAUAUUGACUAUUAUAUAUUAUGUAUUGGCUAUUAGGUUGGCGCAAAAAUAGUUGCGACUUUUGUUAUUGAUAAUUGAAAACUGCAGGUAUUUUUGCCACUUAAUAUAUCAUGGGUAUCAUUUAGCCGCAACAACAUUGUAUGCAACUUUUCGCGAAAAUAUUUAGCAAGAAUUGAUUGAAAGUUAUAAUUUUUAGAGAUUGAUUAUGCUGAAGACAAUGAUGCUUCUCGUUGAAGACAUUUUGAAUGUCUUUCCCGCAAUCUGCCACGAAAAUUGAAGCUGGAGUAUUAUCAAACAAUGCAUGACAGUUUACGUAUCAUUUUCAGUGAUGAAAAAGGCGUAUGCGAGGAAAGGCAGACAUUAUCGAUAACCGGAAGGUUUUGCGAACUCGCGCAGACGACGUGACAAUAUUGAUAUUUUAUCAUAUAUAAAGUGACUCGAGUGGUUUAUCUUCUCUUUCUGCUCUUUACGUUACGCUUUAUGUAUCUUGAACGUGAUACAAUCGAUCAAACGGACUGGACUUUAAAAAUGAUUUCUGUCGUACGGUAUUUCCCUCCGAUAUUGAACUUUUAUGAGCGAAAUCUUUAUACGUGGACGUUGAACUAGAUUGCAAGAUUGUAAACUAAUUUUUGCGCGUAUAUUUUUUACGUGUACGAUCCUGAAGAGAAAGAGCUGUAAUUUGGAAGAAGUUUAUCCCAUUAGAGCUUCAACAGGUGGACUGUAAAUUGAUAAUCUCGCUUCGCUAAUGUUUUGAAAGACGCUGCAAAUCUUGUUUCCCGCUGAGGUUCAUCGAUUGCUGUUUUUUUAUGCCAACAUAAUAUAAAAUUAUUUUUCAAGGUACGACAUGCCAGGAAAAUCGAUUUACACAAUUAUUACGUUUUCAAUAACAAUUUCUGGAAUGAAAUUCAUCGUUGAACGCGGCUGCAACAAGCGCGUUGGAAUUGCUGUAAUUGCCGCGAACAAUUGUGGCAUACAUUUUUCACACAUCGUCAGCGUGUUGGUUUCGAAACGUCGAUUAGUUAUCCCGAUCGAAUUUUGCUAGGUCAAAAAUUACCGUUGACAAUGUGUAACGUGAUGUAACGUAUCACGUAUUCAACGUCAGCAGAAACUCACACCUGAAAAUCAAUAAUAACAUUCUUGGUGAAAUUGAUUCUCUAGGAAAUUGAUCUUUCUUUAUAAAAAAUGAAUAAUCUCUGCUUAAUCUUAAUAAACUGUUAAGAAACAGAUCUCAAAAAAGUGCACUGUCAAAAUUUACUCUAAAAAUCUGCGGAGUAAACACGUAUCUUUUACAAUAAAAUCCUUAAUAAAUCAGGGUCCACUUGUUAUAGCACACAAACAGGUAAAUUUUUUAUGGCAACAGAGGACAUUUCUGACGAACUUCUCACGAGUAACAUGGACUUUUCCAAGUAGCCUCGAUAAUUCCAGAGGAAAACCACGGUACAUUACCCCAUGUGUGUUGUCCAUGUCCGAUUUUGUCUUCUGGUGUUUCCUCCUCGCACUCGUUGCUCAGGUUUAUCGUCCGUGGAAGGUGCGUGACGUACUUCACGAGAGAAUUCUUCAAGCGAGUCUUAUCGAUUGCUUCAAGAGCCUGUGUUAAAUAAGGCAGCACUUCGUGCAUUCUGAUACACGACACUUCUCGCACGGAGACGCCCAAGCGUCAAAUUGGAACGAAUCGACGAAUUGGACGCCUGGUGUAACAAUUAACUCCACUGGAAUUCGCACUUGCAAUUUGCGAUUUGGCGAUCUGUCAACUUCUGCAAACGAACUCCAUUCCACAUGACCACUCCCAUGAGUCGAGGAUUAACAACAGUAUUUGCAGAAUCAGCCAAGUUAACGCCCAGCACAUGGUAUAUCAGCGGCAUCGCGGUGUGAUAACGCGUUGCGCUCAACCGCUGGCAUUUCAUCGUCAUCGCGCGAUUCCGUCAUGCGUGUUUUAUUCAAAUACCGUUUCAUGCAAAUGUCGUUGACGUCGCGGCCUUUACAGAAGCUGUUACGAACAAGUCGAGCGCCGCUUGACCUCGCAGCGAUUCUAGUACAUUGUUGCGGAAUUGAACGUGGCAGAAGUGCAGCAUCGCGGUUAAUCCCUUUUCCGGUGAAAAUUUGCAGAAAAUGCACGAGUACGCCGCUCGCAGGCUCUCGAUGAUGAUAAAUCGCAAAAGUGGCGAAUAAUGAUGACAAAAUAAAUAGCGCAGCUGGGAGAAAAAAAUAGUUACGUGUUACGUGGGAAAAUAAUGAUGAGAAACGGAACACGAGGUGAUAUUUCAACGGCACGUACAGGCCGAGGCUGUGAGAAAAAUUCAGGGUUAUUCGCGUGGUUACGAAAACGUGGAACGGGGAGUUUAAUGAUUGCAGGCUCGAGAUGCCUUCCGCGCGCGCGGUGUUCCGUGUUAAUGAUCACGUUGUCAUUCAUGCGCUGUAUGUGUCACGAAUUGCACGAAUCGCGUCCAAACACAAACCGGAUAUUAAAACAGAACGUUCUGCCGAAGGCGAUCGCGAACGUUUCUCCGUUCACACCGGUUCCGUGAACACGUUUUCCGGACGCGAUCGCGAUUUCGAUCAUCGUGAAUUGAAAAGCGAAUGGUAAUUCGCGAUCAUCAGCAAUAUCUGAUCAUAAUCUGAUGAUUCUUCGCCAACUUGGGAAACCUGUUAGUACGGGAUGCGUUACGCUUGGCAGGAUUUUUCGAAAUAUUAUCUAGUAAUCUUGUCGUACUAUGCGCUUUCUAGUAACGAACGAACAUUAUCGCUUAAUGAUAGCGCUGUAAAAGCAUUCUCGUAACGGGCAUUCUCCACUAUGACUCGUGAUCGUGAUGAUCGAUCCGCCGAUACACGGAUACAUCGGAUCUUGUCGAUAUUAAGGCGGAGCGAAAUCGUUCCGCUCUGAAAUUAAGCUCUGGAGAUUUUAAUGAGUAAAUCCGCGCCAGAUAAUUAAGGAUCCCCGGGAAGAGAUGGGACGCAUCCGUUUCGUAAUCGAGUCUACAGCCCUUUGAUCAUCCUUCGCCUUCGUCUUUUAUAAGUUGCAUGCUAAUAGCAAGAAGAAAUGAAGAAAGAACAAUAUUCACAGGAACGUUGACUCUCGGUAUCUCCGCUUUCCUCUCCUGAGGGAAAAUGAUGAGCUUAUUAUCGGCUUUCACGGUUGAGGCGAGAAAGGACAUAUCACUGAGCAGAUACGGCCGAGGUUGAAUAAAAUUAACACCGUGGAAAGAUCCGAACGAUAAUUUCGCUUCGAUAAACGGCUCGCGCAUAAACGGCUGAAAAGUGCAGUUAUGCAAAUCAAGGUGGGAACGAUUUUGCGGCGCGCGGAAGCAUAACUUCUCGUACCGAUCACCGUAAUUAAAUCUGUACACUUGCGUCGUUUAUACUCGAGCGAGGUCCCAUUUAUCGGACCACUCGGACACGGUGGUCUCGCGGAUUAAUAAAUCGGCGAGGGGAGAAAGGGGGUAGUCUAAAUCGUCGCCGCGGUAAUUACGUUGUGCGACUUCUAUUGCAAAGUAGAAGGAGAACCCGGCGCGAAAAAUCGCUUCCGCCGUGUCGCGGAUCAAUUAACGAUUUUUCAUGCUAAUUAGAGUGCCGGGACCACCGCCUUAUCCGCGUGAAGCAAGACUCCCGAGUCGUAUAUUGACUCUAAAUAAUCCAAUGCGAUUAGAGUAUCGGCGUCGGGCCGGCAUGCACUCGCAUGAGAAAAGGUUGUGCAACUAGUUAUGAGUGGCUGCUUACCAAGGCGAGCGUGGAGCGCGUAGAGAGACUUUAUUACCUCGUUCUUUGUUCUGUAUUUAUUAUGCUUCUUUAAAUACCGCGGUGUUUGCAGAAAUAGCAUGGCAUUCUUUCAAGUACACGUGGACUGCUUUAUAUAUUACGCAAUUUGUUUAUUUUAUUUUAUGAUGCGGGUUAUAUGCAAUCGAAUCCAGCACAGAACGUAAAAGUUCUGUAAAUAGAAACUUUUAAUCCAAUUAUUUGACUAUGUAAUAUCUAUAUAUUUAUAAUAUCUAUAAUUAUAGAUUUUUAAAUCUAUAAUACUAUAUGACACUUACCGGGUGAUUGACACGUUUGACUUUUGUGAAAUCUGCGGGACCAUUUAAUGAUAGUGUUCAGUCACACGUUUCGAAAAGAUCUUUGACACAAUAAUUUCGAGUUUUCUGCAUAUACUGAGGAAGGUCCAGUCGUGGGUUCCUCGAGGCUGCAUCGUGAUUGCAUUGCCCGGAGCGGAGACGAGAGAGCAGCGUGUGGCUUUCGGGCCCAAAAGGCUCGAAACGGCGAAUGGUUUUUUCUCAAGACGAAGCCGGCGGUCUAAUGAGAUUUUGCGGUCGACAGUGGCGUAAUUGGGGGCGGGAGUGCCCUGUGCCCCGCUUCUUAAAAGCCACCCGCUUCCGCGCGCGCGUUUUAACGCGUUUUAAUUUACCGUUAGCUGCACUCGCGGUUACCUGCCGCUCAUUGGAGAAAGGUGAGUGUAUCGGUCCCGGUAUAUAAGGACGAAGAAUGAGCGGAGGACGCCGGUCUCCCACUUUUUCUGGCCAUCGAGAGGGGCAUGAAUAUACGUUCGCCAAACGGUAUGCGAUCUUGCGGAGCUUGCCGAUCGUGAAACUGCCGUAAACCGUAGAAAUCGAGUUGUGCAUUUAGUGACGAGUCUCGACGUAGCUUCGCACAAGAGUACAUUGAGCAGUUCCGUGUCUGAUACAUAGAGAUUCAUUGACACUCAUUGAGAUUCUAAAAAAUAACACAAUUCAUUCAGUAUAUUAUGAAAAAAUGAAUUUAAAACGUAAAUAAACUCUGGGAUACGAAAGAUGAAUUAUUGAAAAAUUAUUACAAUAUAUAAUAAUUGAUAAAAUGGAUUAAAGAACGGAAAUUGUUUUAUAUAAAAUAACUUGUUACCUAAUAAUGUGUCUGCUUUGUGGUUAUUAUGGUGAAAAACGUGGGCGGAUUUUUUAUCCUGGUGUGACAUUGACCAGACGUGCAAGGAAACCCGAGGUCGAGAGUAGAGAGAAGUAGAGAGAAUACUGCGAUCGAUCGGUCUCGAGGUAUGCCAGCGACGUAGACGUGUCUCAAAGCCACCCUCACUGACUUUCUCUUCUUUCGUAUACGUUGUUAAAUAUUAAGAGCGUCAACAACGGUGGUUGUACUGGCGGUGAUAGCACUUGGAAAAAAUCGAUAAAUUCUUGAUAAAUUUGUCGUCCAACAGACGCGAACACAUUAGAAAACGUGAAAGUAAUAUCGGCUAUUUUUGUGUGAAUAAAUUAUGAACACCGCAUUAUUCAACGAUGAUACUUGAUAUAAAACGAGCGAAUAUUUACGCGAUUGCCUUUUCAAUCAACGUUUUACGUGGAAAUCUUCAAGUCGGAAUCGUCACUUGUGCAAUUGAUAACGUUUUGUUGAAGGAUGAAACGAUCUAAGCCACCGUACUGGCCAAUGUAACACAUUGAUAAUUAUAUCACAUAUGAUAUCAUAUCACAUAUGAUAUCAGUUUUUUAAAGGUGUUUUAAUAAAUUCACACACACAUGAGCCUGUGCGCGUAUAUGCACGCGUUCUUUGAUCCGCUGUAGCUUAUAUCGCGAUAAGUCCGGAUAAGUACGGAUUUUCAAGUGUAAUUGAACAAAGGAUUCGAGAAUAUAAUUUGUUGUGGCAAUUUUUGCCGUUCAGCAUAUCGGAAGGUUCACCGAAGACUUUGAUUAAAGAAAGUCUCGUGUUUGCGUUCACAAUCAGUUAGAAAUCUCGACAGUCGGUCGAUUGUUCUCGCUUUCUCGAUGGGUACUGCGUACUGUGUUUGGUUUAGCAACAAGUUGUCGGUCUAUGCUUCGCUCUAUUGCAACUCACCGAUCCUAAUAAAGGUAUAGACAAUGAAUUGCGUAAAAACGGUAGUGCCGGUUCUCUCGGUCGUCCGACAUGCCGCAUUCUCGCGUUCCUCAAGUGAUCAUUUCAGAAGCUCGAAUCUUGCUCGAAUGGGUGGCACGAUAUUUUUUAUCCGACCAGGACAUUGAUCUGCCCAUAUUCAAGACAUAUCGAUACACGGAGGGAUAAUCUGCAACGAUUCCCACGGUCUUCAAGAUACUUCACACACGCGAACAUCCACGCCUCUCAGCACGCUACCUUUUCAAGGUGUUUCAGAGGCUGAAUCUUGGCGGGUGCAGGGUGCAUCAGCCGCGAGAAUCGUUCGUGUUCGCCAAGAAAAUCCACCAAACCAUUAUGGAACUUGAUUGCACGUGUUUUCAGGAUCGCGUCAGUCAUCGCGAUUUUUCUUUCUCUUCCCUUGGCUCUUUUGUACCUCGUCUUCGAUCGGAUUUACGAUACGUCUUGAUCGCGUUCCGAGGAGUUGCCUUUCGACGCAAUGAAUCGCGUGAUUCUUUAACGCACCAGCACACUUGGAAUUGAUUACGUCUCGCCGAUCGAAUAACACUCGGCAGGGAAGAUGACGGAGGGUCCGAGGGGGAUGCCGAGCGAUAAAAUUAUCCGGAUGGAUUUGUCGCUGUGUGCUCGCCGCGUGUCACGUUCACGUUGUAAAAUCCGAUUGAGAAUCACGGGGGGAACGUUUAAUCGCGUGACAGCGCGAACCGCCCGAUAAACUCGCGAUAUUACAUACUUCGGGUCCCUUACAUCGCGCUUUUGCAACCCUCUUUGCCUCGAAUCACCUGCGCACGUAAUGCGGUCGCUGCUUGGUAGGUUUCUGCCUGAAACACCUUGUAGAAGAUCGUGAUGCGCGCGAGACGCAGCGGAUUAUUCGAUUCGGCCUUUCAUGAACUUUUUUUCUCCUUACCUCUCCUUACCUCCAUUCAAAGAGGACCGCAUUGUCGGAGUUUGACGCACCCUACGUAUAUGGAGCAGGUGCGCGGUUUACCUGCCGCGGGCGGUACUGCUUUUUCAUUUUCUCCACUUUGCUCUGCCUUCUGGCCCCGCCACCGUUGUGCCUCAUUGCUCCUUUCCUUUUUCUUCCGCAGCAUCUUCCCGUCCUUUUCUCCGUCGCCGCACUUGCCGCGAAUUAAUACCGCACGCAUAAAAGGAACGUUUACACGUGAGUAACGUUGGACUAUCGUUAUUGCGCGGCGACGUGAUUGCAACACGCACGCGAAUUUCGACUCGAUUUACCGCAAACUGUUGUGGCGUAUCUAAAAUCGCACGAAUACAAAGUGAAUUUUCUUACUUGCGAAUUGCUGUUGGAAACGGUUAGCAGGUAAUAUAAAGCGAGAUUUCUAGGAUAAUUCGAGGAACAAAUCUCAAAAAUCAGAUUCUUUCAAAAGUAAAGGUGGGACUUUAUGUAUUGCGAUUAUCGCUGAGUUAUUGUAUAAAGGUGGUGGAAGUCAAUAAGCCUCUCGGGAGGUAAUUUAGUUCUUAUAACUUCGGGCCUUUAUAAACGUUCUGUUCCGUGCAUCCUGUGAGAAAACUCUCCGGAAUCCGUUUAUUUAUUUGAACUGAUCCGCCGGCCACCAGCAGCGAAUAUUCGAAAGGAACGCUAAAGGUCUUAGUUCUACCUUUUCCAUCCUUUAUAUUUCUUCAAAGAAUAUUAGGAAGAGAUAAGUUACAUGAAGAAAGCGGCUUUCACUUCAUAAAGCGUAACUUAAGGGAUAAUGUCAGACUACACUAAAUAGUAAAUUAAUUUGUAACCAAAAUAGAAUACAGAAUUCAGAAUUAUUCAAUCAAUCAUCACUUACAUUUAUUAAUCUUCUUCGAGUUCUCGGUUUUUAGCUUCUUUAAGAUUUUUCAAUUCUGAACUAGAUGUUUCAAUCGAUUGUUUGAGAACUCUCUCAUCCGGAGAUUCGGAAAUCAGUCAAUCACGCGAGAGAUGAUUCGGUUGUACGUGUGCGUGCGUGCGUGCGUGCGUGCGACAUGGGUCCCAUGACGAAUCAUCGUCCCACGGCUGUAAUGCCAUGACGGCGAUGUGGGUCGCAGGUCAAAUGACGAAACAUUCGCUCGAUGUGGGUAAAACUAAUUCCUCGACCUUCGCGAGUCGCCAGGAAGUACUCGUGUUCCGCCCGCAUUAAAUCAAGGAUCUUCAUAGGAAUCCAAUGAUGAUCUUUGCCUUUACGCAACGCCGACUUGACAGAAACGAACAUGAGUCAUAAUUCAUGCUGCGUAACAUCCUGCUAGUUAAACUUCGCGAUUCGUACGAUGGAAAAAGUGCUACAAGUCUUAUUUCUCGAUCGUUUUACUUGCUAUGGGAAGAAGAGAGAGAUAGAGAAAAAGAGAAAGAUGAAAUAAAAAAAAUGAUAUUUUCUCGUUGCUGAAGGCGAAAGGAACCGACGUGAGUUCCAUCAGCGAGCGACGUCGCAGCAGAUAUUCCGGGGGGAACUUCCACUCUCCGGGUAGAAUCUAAUCUCUCGUAGACAGGGGCGAUCACGCUGCACAACGAUGGCGGGGCUGCCGCCGUCGACGGAACACCCCAUUUCUACCGGCUUAAAACGUCGUAAGACGAAAAACAGAGACCCAAAGCAAAGACCUUUUGUUGAAACGUUAAAGCUCGCUUAAUUGCUCGCUUGUUCCGGAUCGAAUCGCACCUAUUACGACGCUUCUGCAAAUCUCCAAUUAACAUGCUCCAAGUUGAACUGUAACCCGAGUCUCGGGUCAUUUACUGGACACAUAUUUUUGUCGGAAACAAAUGGAGCAUUCAAAAGUUUUCAGUUUUCAAAACGUUUUAAUUCACGAGAUCACGAAGCGAACUCAUUACUGCUGCAAGAUGAUAACUAAAGAUCUGUUUAAACAACAAUCGAGCAAUCAAAUCACCUUUUCUUACAAAAGCUACUCCUCCCUUUGUCGAAUAAUUUUAUUACGUUCUCUCGUGCGACGACGGCGGAGACCACGGUAAAGCUAAUCCACUCAAGUCGUCUGUAUGCUUACUUUGAGGCACUUUAAGUCAUCGUUGUUGCAACUGCACUCCGCGUGUAGGAUUUCCAGAGACGCGUUUCGUUCCGAGUGGAAUGUUUGUGCUAGACACGUUCGCGCUCUAUUCCCUCCCUUUCUCCUGCCCUUUUCUGUGGCACUUUCCUUCUUCUCGCGCUUCCAUUUCGCUCUUCCAGUCGUACUUUGAAGUCGCCGUCGACGUUUGUCGUGCAAACCAGUUUAUUACUACGUGCGCGCGGGUCAUGGAGAAACCCGUCGCGUAUCUCAUCUUGCGGACAAUUUUUCCGCAACGUGCGUGUUACAUUUGUCAAACCUCGCGCUUCCGCCAUGCAAGAUGCACGAAGAUUACUCUGUCUGAUGACAAAUCUUUUUAUCAAACCAAAAUAAGCUUCUGCCGCGAUUCCAAUUCCACUGUGAAUCAAAGCGAACUUAAACAAGCAGUGGAAUUUUUCGUUCAAAUAAAAAUUUCUUUUAUUUCUAGCUCGAACAUUUGAUUUUUUUGUUCUUCUCCAAUUGGUUGUAAACUAACGAACAAUUGCGGAUUCUAUAAACAUUGUUUACCAAUUAUAAAAUAAUAAUAAUAUUAUUAUUAUUACUUUAAUUCGUUCGUUUAUAUUUUACACAGAUUUUAUAACGCACCGUCAGUAACAUCGAUCCGUUCUUUUUGGAAAAUAUCACUCUCGAAAUUAUCUAAUCUUAUCGUUCAUGCGCGUGUCCGGGGAUCGAUCGCAUUACGUGAACGAUAAACGUUGCUAUUAAUAAAAUCACGUCUUUUUCCCGUACUGAUAUGUUUUAUUCGGAAAAAUUCUUCACGUAGUCAUUUCCUUGAUUUUCCACUCUUUUCAUUAGGUCGCUCCUUUCAUUUACAGUUACGCCAAAAGCGUUAGCAACAAUCUCGCGAAUGACCGGUAGAAUGCGAUAUACGAGCGUAGAAAAGAGCUUCCUGUAAUGUAAUUUUGGCCUUCGCGGAUUGUCUUGGAAAGGAGCAACGAACUCUCUGCCAUUCUGGCUAGUUGCUUGGAUUCGUUCAUUAUGUUGCUCGUACAGCGUAUCAAAUGAUGGACGAAUAUGGAGGAACAUAAAAGAACGAGAAACUAUAAUCUUCCUUUAUUUCCACGGUAAGAGGAAAGAAUUCUUUUUCUUAAUUUUCAAUCGUUUAUCCGGUCGAUGAACUUUUAUCUUCCUCAUAAAAUGUUUUUUCUUUGGGCGGUUUGGCUUCCAAUUGCGACUUUUACUCGACCGUUAUCGCCGUUAUAUGAUUAUGAUAAUUGUUUAAUUUGACGCUUCUCGCUUGUGUGAUAUUUUGCGAAUUUUUUAAGACUGUUUUGACGUCAUCGCGCAGAUUAAUUAUAUUCUUGAACUUGAAUAGCACGGCCGAUUGUAUCAAGUGUGACGACAGUUUAGGACGCGAAUGCCCGUGCUUGCCGGCACUUUGAUUUCACGGUGCUAUCUCGAUAAAUUAUUGCCGACUGUCUGGACGUUAAAGAAUUAUUACGUGCUCACGCCCCUAACGUGGAAGGCGCGGUGCGUAGGACCACACGAGAUAUCUUUUCGCCGUGAAUAACACACGCGAUGCACUUGCACGUCGUCCGCUUAUAAAAGCGCAGUCACGCCCGCCGACUCGGUCGUCAGAAAAUUUCUCAGCGAUAAAAACGUCAUUGAAUUAAACUCUAAUUAAGUUCCUUCUCUCAUUCCUCUCCUUUUUAUAAUAUAUAUCGUCGCUUACACGAAUAGAUAACAAUCUAGAUGCGCGCUUUAUUACUCGGUGCAACCAGAACACCGUGUUAUUACACGUGUCAAAGCGAUUUCAGAUAAGCAGAUUUAAUGCUCGAUUGAUGAUACCAGACUGCUUAAACACCCGAGAUGCUCUCUCACCAGGAUCGACGAAAUCUUCGGUCACGCGAGAAGGAUGAAGGCCGAUUUUUUUAGCGUGCGUCCGGUCUAGCGAUUAAAUUGAUCUUAUCGGGGUGAAUACCAUAGGCCAUAAGGGAUUAAUAUCUUCUCCAUGGCGCAAAUUUCCCGAGGACAUCUUACGCGCUUCUCGUGAUCAUCAUGCGUUGCCUCUCAUUGAUAUUCGCGGCGUUUGUCGUCUGUGGAAAGGAAUCUGAUCGAUAUCAGGCGUGAAUGCGGCGCGCGCGCUGAUUGGAAUAUUAAUGGUAAGGGUGGAUGCGUGAAAGAACGGGAAUCAACAAAGUUCUGUAUGCCAGAUGUAUGAAACCUGCAGUCUUCCAUCAAUUUAUACGCGUAUCAUUACGUGCAUAAUUAAUUCGGUGUAAUAAUGAUUAUAAUAAUUAAUGCGAAUUCGGUGUAUGCCAUACACGAUCCGGAUUCUGGAUCCGAUUGUGGCGUAUGUGAAUUUGAUAGGCCAUUUCUAGCAAAUUAAGUUCUGGAUACACGAAAUGCCAUCAUUUAAACUUUAAAAAUAUUAAAUAUCAGACUUAUGUGAACUUGGCACUCCACUUUUGCUGAAAUUAUAGCAUUUUGGAGAAAUGAUUGGUUACUCUACGGCAACCGCUCUGGUUACUUCCAUCCGCAAGGAAAACGGUCUUCAUCAAGUUAUCUGUCGAUAUCCUUCGAUUUCACGAGUCGCCGAUCUCCUCGCCGGAAGCGAGAGGGCUCGAUUAACCGGAAACUCCAUCGCGGCUAAACCGUUUCGUCGUGUGGUGGAUGACUGGUCGUCUUCAGCCAGAAGUAUCCGCGGCUCGUUUCUAGUUUGCUCGAUAUUUGCCCGAGGCUUCGUCGUUUACCGAACGUUUGAUUAUGAAUUUUAUUUAUACGCAUUAUGCGAAUUAGGAUCCGCUUACGUAUUAUAAAAUCCGUCUGGGAAUAAGUCGUACUCCUGUGAGCACAUUUCUUGCAUUUCUCUCACGUCCGUCACACUCUUCUCUAUUCACCCAGCAAGCUUAAAGCCGCGCAUUCUGAUCUCGCGUUUUAUUUGGCGAAUCUGCGAAAUCCCAGGGAAUCAAAGGCUCAUGCAGAAACGAUAUGUGCGCGAAUCGGUUUGAGUAAUGUCGGCGAUAAUUCAAACUUCGUAUCGAGCUUUCCAGAAUUUAUCGCCACGUGUACGUGAGUGUACUAUCGACACUGACGGAUUAAGACCGAACGGCGCGGUGGAUACGAAAUCAUUUAGCCGAGUGCAUAUGGUGUUACCGCACGCAUCGUGCGCGGGAAUGCGGAUAGGCAGGAUAAAAAUGACACGGGUUGAGACGAGGGCGCGAUCCUGACGGAGAUAAAAACCCGGCGGAAACGGCACGGGAUCGAUACAGCGAUGGGGUACGUCAUCGCUACAUGAGGACCACGCCACGUGGGUCACUGCAAUGAUUCUUAUGAAUGCGAUCCCUGUGCUCCUUCAGAGGAUGCGUGACAGCCGACAGGCAGCACAUCGUACGUGUCCGUCGCGAUUUUAAUGGAACAUCGAUCUUGAUUUCACGCUCGACGCCCCUCGAUCGUUGCAUCGCAAACACUUUCGUGACAUUCGGGUGCCUAUGCAAAGAUAUUGGCGCCUUCUGAACACUUGCACCCUCCUGAUGCUCUUCCAGACUACGUUUUUAUUAUGACUUUUUUAACCGUUAUAUAGAUUGAACAAACUGGAGAACGAAAUGUAUCUUAAGUAUUUUUUUCAAUGAUAAAAGGCGAAUUAUGAUCAUCACACGAUCGUAUGUAUUAUUCGGGCGUCUAGGUGUAUGUAGAUGUAAUUGUUUAUAUUAAAAAAUAGUUAGUUCAUGUUUGAUAUAUAAUCCCAGAAUCAUAAUAGAUCAAGUAGAUAUAUUAUCAAUCAUAAUCAUAAUCAAUAUAUCAUAGAUCAUAAUAGACAAUAUUAUAUGAAUUUCUUAUAUUAUAUAAUAAUAACGAAUACGUUCGCGAAAAAUACAUGUGUAGAGAUCGUCCGCGCGCUUUCGGAACGCAAAGUGUUAAAACGUAUCUUCCCCAUCUGUGCAUAUGUCAUACCCAGGUAUUAUAUCGGCACACUUGAACAGGAUUCUCAUGCAUUUUAACGACUCUCGCGAUCUUUGUGUGGAUGAAUGCCGGCCGCCAUCGAUAAUUUGAGGGUGGGACCGGGCGCCCGCGCGCAAACAAAAGGUAACGUGGAAUAUGCAUCCGGCAGGUAUGCAUCCGCAUGGGGUUUUCAUUUCCUACUCGGUUAUUUGCGAGUGUCGUCGAUCGUUCAACGACACGCAUUUCACGCACACGGCUGGGGACGAAAACGCGAAUAUUUGCAGUCGCGUCGCGCGCCGAUACGUUUCUAUCGAGGGAAAAAAAAGAUUGCGCAGGAUUAUGUGUCCAUUUAGCAAACAGAUACUGUUUAUAACGGCACGUCGUUCUUGUAAAAUCCAAUGGUUAUUGAUAUAUGGCAAAAUUUGAAUUGAAUGUCUGCUGUCAAGCGGACGAGCUGUAGUGUGGAACCUGUUCAGAAAAGAGCGCUUGUGAAAAAAUAUCAGUAGAAUUUUAUAGAAACAAUUUGAGUACUAUCCCAAACAUUGAAUCAUGUUUUAAUAGAAAAUAGUAGAAAUUUUAGUAGAGAAUAGAAAAAAUAAAAAAGUGAUUUAGAGAGAGAGAGAGAGAGAGAGGUAUCUUUAUAAAACAAUUUUAGCUGGGCGACUUGGAGGAAGUUGCAAGUUCCUCGGAUUGCGAGGGUGUUUCUUCCGAGGGCUUAAACGUCCGAUUAGUCAUAUGACUGAACCGAGCCCUUAGAAGGGCUCGCAUUGUCCAAGUGGUCCGAGCAUCAAGUUUCGAGUUUCUUUUUCCUUUCCUUCCGCAUCAUCGUAGUCUCUCUUCCUCUCUCGAGCUGCGAAAUUCUCAACGAAGAGAAUUAUCUCGCACGACAAUGCGUAUAACACGAGUUACGUGGGCGUCCAUUGAAUGGCUCUUGAGAGUUGUCCUUAAGACGACUGCGUGCAGAACACCGCGACAUUCUGCAGAACAACAUGUCUCAAAGCUGAAUGAGAAAGAAAAGCUCUUGAGACCUCUAUCGAACUGCCACUUCUUGAGUAGAACGGAAGAGGAGUGAAAUAACGAUGGACAACUAAGGAUGCGAAGAAAGGAAGGAAGAAGGGAAACGAGGAAACAUGAUUAAUUGCACAGCAUGAGAACAACGAGACAGAAGAAAUUAAAUGUAUGAUCGCAUUUAGUAGGGCAUAAGUCAAUGUGUGAACCGAUGAAGUGAAUGGUCAAAGUUGACUGAGGCUGGUCGCUCUUACCACAUGUAAACCAAAUGUUCAGUACACGUUCCAUUGUUUUCUGCCGCUCAGCCUCCGGUCGCUGUGGACCAGUCGUCAUUCUCAAUUUCCUCCGCGAGAAAUCUCGGACGUCGCCGAUGACGACACGUGUUACAUCGUAGUUUAGAACUGUGAGCUGACGAACGUGCAGCAUUCAUCUCCAGUGUAUCGCCAGGAUACACGUACGAAUACUGAGCGGAUGAGUGUGGGUGCAUCGGCACACGCGUAUACAUAUACGCAGCAUCUCGCUUCUUAUCCGCGAGACCAAGAGGGAGCAAAAGGACCGACGACACUCGGAUCGUGCAAAUUGAUUCGGGUGCAGAAACUGGUCUCGUAAACUCGACCGGAUGCUCUUAAUGAUCGGCAAUUUCAGCGUUACGUUACGUGAGAGAGCGAGCCUCGUCGACGUGUUUCCUCGGCGUGUCGGCGUGUGUGUGCACAAGCGAUCGGCGUCGACUUCGGGGCCGUGCACACCUCGAGACCCGAUGGGAAUUUAAUUUUUAUGGUAAAAGAAAAUAGAGAAAGGUGAAGUAAAAGCAGGUUGAGCGAGAGCUGAUUCAUUUGCGAGCGCCGCAAACGCCGGUCGUUUCGCAUGCGAGACGGCGAUUCGCGUGAAGCGAAGAAAUGAACAUCCCGAGACGCGCCGUUAAGUAUCUCACCCCCUUAAACGGGAUCGCGCCUCUUGGUGCACCCUCGUUUAAAAAGUGAGCACGAACGGGGACACUCCAGCAGAAGGACGUCGUCGGCUCUUUAUUAUCCCGCGACUAAGGGGAGAACAAGCGGCCACGGAUAAAGCGCAAGGGCUUCUGAUUAUCCAUUCGUCCUGGAGGCCUUCACGUUUUCGGCGUUGCUCGAGCUUCCCCCUUUAUCGUCUUACCGCACAGGAUGCGCAUAUGAGGUGCACCUAUGCAUAUUUAUGAGGUAUCAGUGGCUGGUCGAACGAAUUGGGCGCUGAGGCUCCUAAUCACGUCCAGCGCUUACGUGGUGUGGUUCCUAAUGCUUUAGACUCAGGUAACUUUGAGGGUGCAACAUGAAGUUACUUUUUUUAAUAAUUAUAAUUGUUUAGAAAGUCAGAGCAAAA